GAGAUGGACUGGUGCCUUCGGGAACUGUGAGACAGGUGCUGCAUGGCUGUCGUCAGCUCGUGUUGUGAAAUGUUGGGUUAAGUCCCGCAACGAGCGCAACCCUUAUCCUUUGUUGCCAGCGGUUAGGCCGGGAACUCAAAGGAGACUGCCAGUGAUAAACUGGAGGAAGGUGGGGAUGACGUCAAGUCAUCAUGGCCCUUACGACCAGGGCUACACACGUGCUACAAUGGCGCAUACAAAGAGAAGCGACCU
rnacentral:rRNA from 1 species